rnacentral:rRNA from 1 species
CGAGGGGUCCAAGCGUUGUUCGGAAUCAUUGGGCGUAAAGCGGGUGUAGGUGGCUCUGUAAGUCAGGAGUGAAAGCCCCGAGCUUAACUCGGGAAGUGCUUUUGAUACUGCAGAGCUUGAAUGUGGGAGAGGAUCGUGGAAUUCCAGGUGUAGUGGUGAAAUACGUAGAUAUCUGGAGGAACACCGGUGGCGAAGGCGGCGAUCUGGCCCAACAUUGACACUGAGACCCGAAAGCGUGGGGAUCAAACAGGAUUAGAUACCCUGGUAGUCCACGCCGUAAACGAUGGAUACUUGGUGUUGGAGGUAUUGACCCCUUCAGUGCCGAAGCUAACGCGUUAAGUAUCCCGCCUGGGGAGUACCGGCCGACAACGGUUA